rnacentral:tRNA from 1 species
AGGGCGGUAGCUCAAUUGGUAGAGCGGCGGUCUCCAAAACCGCAGGUUGGGGGUUCGAGACCCUCCCGCCCUGCCA